AGAGUUUGAUCCUGGCUCAGAUUGAACGCUGGCGGCAGGCCUAACACAUGCAAGUCGAGCGCGAAAAGCUUUCGGGCUGAGUAGAGCGGCGGACGGGUGAGUAACGCGUAGGAAUCUACCUGGUAGUGGGGGACAACUUGGGGAAACUCAAGCUAAUACCGCAUACGCCCUAAGGGGGAAAGCGGGGGACCUUCGGGCCUCGCGCUAUCGGAUGAGCCUGCGUAGGAUUAGCUAGUUGGUGGGGUAAAGGCCCACCAAGGCGACGAUCCUUAGCUGGUCUGAGAGGAUGAUCAGCCACACUGGAACUGAGACACGGUCCAGACUCCUACGGGAGGCAGCAGUGGGGAAUAUUGCGCAAUGGGCGAAAGCCUGACGCAGCCAUGCCGCGUGUGUGAAGAAGGCCUUAGGGUUGUAAAGCACUUUCAAUUGGGAAGAAAAGUUUGUCGUUAAUAGCGCCAAGCUCUGACAUUACCUUUAGAAGAAGCACCGGCUAACUCCGUGCCAGCAGCCGCGGUAAUACGGAGGGUGCGAGCGUUAAUCGGAAUUACUGGGCGUAAAGCGCGCGUAGGCGGUUUGUUAAGUCAGCUGUGAAAGCCCCGGGCUCAACCUGGGAACUGCAGUUGAUACUGGCCGACUAGAGUACGAGAGAGGGAGGUAGAAUUCCAUGUGUAGCGGUGAAAUGCGUAGAUAUAUGGAGGAAUACCAGUGGCGAAGGCGGCCUCCUGGCUCGAUACUGACGCUGAGGUGCGAAAGCGUGGGGAUCA
rnacentral:rRNA from 1 species